AGUGAACGCUGGCGGCAGGCCUAACACAUGCAAGUCGAGCGGAUGACGGGAGCUUGCUCCUUGAUUCAGCGGCGGACGGGUGAGUAACGCCUAGGAAUCUGCCUGGUAGUGGGGGACAACGUUUCGAAAGGAACGCUAAUACCGCAUACGUCCUACGGGAGAAAGCAGGGGACCUUCGGGCCUUGCGCUAUCAGAUGAGCCUAGGUCGGAUUAGCUAGUUGGUGGGGUAAUGGCUCACCAAGGCGACGAUCCGUAACUGGUCUGAGAGGAUGAUCAGUCACACUGGAACUGAGACACGGUCCAGACUCCUACGGGAGGCAGCAGUGGGGAAUAUUGGACAAUGGGCGAAAGCCUGAUCCAGCCAUGCCGCGUGUGUGAAGAAGGUCUUCGGAUUGUAAAGCACUUUAAGUUGGGAGGAAGGGCAGUAAGUUAAUACCUUGCUGUUUUGACGUUACCGACAGAAUAAGCACCGGCUAACUCUGUGCCAGCCGCCGCAGUAAUAC
rnacentral:rRNA from 1 species